GAAUGCGAUCAUUCCAGCACUAACACACCGGAUCCCAUCAGAACUUCGAAGUUAAGCGUGUUUGGGCGAGAGUAGUACUAUAAUAGGUAAUCAACCCCCUGGGAAGUCCUCGUGUUGCAUAUC
rnacentral:rRNA from 1 species